rnacentral:rRNA from 1 species
GACGGACGCUGGCGGCGUGCUUAACACAUGCAAGUCGAACGGAAAGGCCCUGCUUUUGUGGGGUGCUCGAGUGGCGAACGGGUGAGUAACACGUGAGUAACCUGCCCUUGACUUUGGGAUAACUUCAGGAAACUGGGGCUAAUACCGGAUAGGAGCUCCUGCUGCAUGGUGGGGGUUGGAAAGUUUCGGCGGUUGGGGAUGGACUCGCGGCUUAUCAGCUUGUUGGUGGGGUAGUGGCUUACCAAGGCUUUGACGGGUAGCCGGCAUGAGAGGGUGACCGGCCAAAUUGGGACUGAGAUACGGCCCAGACUCCUACGGGAGGCAGCAGUGGGGAAUAUUGCACAAUGGGCGGAAGCCUGAUGCAGCAACGCCGCGUGCGGGAUGACGGCCUUCGGGUUGUAAACCGCUUUCGACUGUGACGAAGCGUGAGUGACGGUAAUGGGUAAAGAAGCACCGGCUAACUACGUG